rnacentral:rRNA from 1 species
UGAGGAAUAUUGGACAAUGGGGGCAACCCUGAUCCAGCCAUGCCGCGUGAGUGAAGAAGGCCCUCGGGUUGUAAAGCUCUUUUGUCCGGAAAGAAAAGCUUCGGGUUAAUACCCCGGGGUUCUGACGGUACCGGAAGAAUAAGCACCGGCUAACUUCGUGCCAGCAGCCGCGGUAAUACGAAGGGUGCAAGCGUUACUCGGAAUUACUGGGCGUAAAGCGUGCGUAGGUGGUUGUUUAAGUCUGAUGUGAAAGCCCUGGGCUCAACCUGGGAAUGGCAUUGGGAACUGGGCAGCUAGAGUGCGGUAGAGGGUAGUGGAAUUCCCGGUGUAGCAGUGAAAUGCGUAGAGAUCGGGAGGAACAUCUGUGGCGAAGGCGACUGCCUGGACCAGCACUGACACUGAGGCACGAAAGCGUGGGGAGC